CCUCAUAAGCUUGCUGCGGACAGAUGAAGUGAAUGUGACUGUCGAAUCCACCGUAAGUAACAAUGCUUCCUUCACCAGCGAUCACAUCGGUCGUCGAACCAACCACAAGAUUGGGAUGUACACCCUCCAUCACGUCAGGAUUACCGGCUUUGCCGACCGCAACGAUAAGACCAUCUUUGAUGCCGAUAUCGCCUUUGAUUAUACCGGUGUAGUCCACAAUGAGAGCAUUAGUGAUGACGGUAUCUAGGCUAGUCGAGCCAGAUCUUCCGCUGGCUUGACCCAUGCCGUCUCGG
rnacentral:sRNA from 1 species